rnacentral:lncRNA from 1 species
UAAGUAUGAGUUUAGUCGACUAGACUUUGCGCAACGAUUGAUUUCAGUCAAAAUAAACUAAAUGAGCAGAAAGAUAAAAAAGACACAACAAUUUUUAUACUGGUUCAGUACCGGUGUGGUACCUGUAUCUAGUUCCCUAGGGUCACAAGAGUUCUCUUAGAUCUUUGAUAAAUGUUUACAACAUCGAUGGUUUUAGUUCGUUCACCACCAACGAUAUACAAAAAUAGUAAUUCUUUCCAAUAUUGACACAACACUCAUUUUGUGUUCUAAUUCUUCCUAUCUUUUGUGACACUUGUAAACUCAAGAAUACAAUGUUUGUACUAAGAAUAAGAAAGGCUUAGAAACAGAUGAUGUAGUUACGUGAUCGAAUUCUUGAGUUGGCCAAUCUUCUUAUAGGAGUGUUUUGAGUAGCCGUUGCAGAUUUACCCUUGAUUGAGGCACAAAAUAUUCUAAGAGAUUUGACCCAAGGGGUGUCUCCGAAUCUUGCACAAGGGAUGGGGUGGAUUCGUUUACGUCCUUCCUUUUCAUAUCCAUAAUCAAGGGAGUGAUUUAUGGCUUGACUUGAUCGAGCAAUCUUCAGUAUCUCCAAAUUCCAAAUCAAUCCUUGAAGUAGGGCCUGAUUUCCUUUAGCGGCUGCACUUGAUUUGUUUCCUUUUUGAUAGCCUCGACGUCCUUUGAUUUAGCAUUGUUCUAACUUCCUUUAGUGCAUGUGCUUGAUUUUGUUUCCUUUUUGAUGGCCUUGACGUCCUUUGAUUUAGCAUUGUUCUUGUGGCAUUUGAUCUUGUUUCCUUUCUGAUGCCCUUACCAAAAGAACUUCCUUUAAAGUAGUAUUAUCCUCCUAAUUUCCUGCAAUUAAUUGGAUUAAAUGGAUACAGUUAGAUUUGCACUAUUGUCAUCAUUGAAACUUAGGUGUAACAAUCUCCUCUUUUUUGAUGAUGAUAAUCAAAAAGACUAAACAGAAUGGUUGGCUUAAACAGGUUGGUUGAGGAUUCAGACAUCCAAAAUCUUCCUUAUCUUUAGGCUGUUGUCAAGGAAACACUAAGGGGUCGUUUGGUAUGAGGUAUAAGUAAAAAUAGUACUCGUAUAAAAUUUAAUACCACCUUAUACCUUGUUUGGUUACCAAAUCUGGUAUAAGUUAUCCCGGAAUAACUUAUACCUCUUAAGAGGUGAGAUAAUUAAUGCUGGGAUUAUUAUCCCCCGACAAAAUAGCGAAAUUCACCAAAAUAGCCCUAAGGUCCUCAAACCCUUUUCUACAUCACUUUUUCCAUUCCUUACCCAAUAUUGGUAAAGCAAUGCCGCUACAAAUUACUCUGCUCUUGGGGAAGAUUUCUUCUCUUCUUUGGAUGCAGAAGCUAUGUUGUAGUGAUUGAAGAACAACUCUGAUAUUAUCUUCCAUUUUGCUUUUCCCACAAGGUUAAAACUUCUAUCAAAUUCUAUUUUUCUUAUUCUUUCUUGUUAUCAUUUAUAAGUUCCCUGUUGCAUAAUUUGGGUAUAGUCCUCUUCUCUACCAAAAUAGUAAAAAUCUGAAACAAUUAAAAUCAGUAGUAUUAUACAUGGCAAUUAGCUAUCUUUCAUAUGAAGGAAACAGGGAUUAAAGUAAGGAAGAAGAUUUAGAAGAAAAAAUCAACAGAUAUAUUUCAAAUAAUUGAAAACUAGAGCCUCAAAAAGUUAUUUAAUACUUGUUGAUGUAAGAAUUGGCAAUUGCCGUAUGUCAAUUGGAUAAAGGAGCAAGAAGAUGGAGGCUAAAUAAGAUGGAGGGUAUUUUUGUAAACAAAAAACUUCCUUUUAAAAAUUAUGCAAUGCAUGUUAUUUUUAAUACAACAUACCAAAAAGUAGAUAAAAAAUAAUACGGGAAUAACUAAUCCCAACAUAACUUAUCCCAACAUAACUUAUCUUAGCAUAAGAGAUUUUCAAACCAAACGCCCCUAAGAGUGCAUCCCCCAUUGCCCUUAGUGUUCCGAAAAUGUAGAGAAGAUUGUGUGGUCAAUGGUUACAAAAUACCUAAAAAUUCUUAGACUUUUGCUAAACAUUUAUGCAAUUAAUAGGGACCCCAAUGUAUUAGUUAAAAAUAGACUCGCCAUGUGAGUCUAUUAAAUGGCGACACGUGUUAGCAAAGUUAUGAGAAAAGUAAAGAAUGAUAUGUAAAGAUGAUAUAUAAAGCACCUACGGGGUCGAACAUACUCGUACUGUGCCUGUUAGUCUCAGAAUUGAUCAUCAUAGAAUAGCCCCGGAUCAUGUACGGGAGAAUAGGCUCCUCGUCAUGGACCUUGAGAUCACGAGGAAGAGGGCGAUGUAUAAACAACAUAGGAUUAAGUUGGGAGCCUUGACAGAAGCUAAAGCACAGGAGUUGGGGGUCAAGUUGGUGACUAUGAGGGCUUGGAGGAGUAAUGGAGAUGCAAGCUCUACAUGGACCACGAUUGUGCAAUGCAUUAGGGAAGCCGCGAAAGAGGUAUUAGGGGUCUCAAAGGGUUACUCUGGUGGUCACAAGAGAGACUGGUGGUGGAAUGGAGAUGUGCAAGGAAAAGUAGAAACCAAGAAAGCAGCGUAUUUGAAACCAGUGGAGAGUGUAAACGAGUAGGAGAAGAGGGCGAAUAGGGAGCAUUAUAAGUUGGUUAAGAAAGAGGCAAAACAAGCAGCUACGGCGGCCAAGACUACAACUUUAAGUCGUUUGUAUGAGGAACUCUAGGGACGAGGUGGGGAUAAGAGGUUGUUUAGGUUAGCCAACGCAUGAGAAAGGAAGGCGCGUGACUUUGACCAAGUAAAGUGCAUCAAGGACGAAUAAGGUAGAGUUUUGUUGGAUGAGGGGCUUAUCCGUCGAAGAUGGCAUACCUACUUCCAUAGUCUCUUGAACGAGGAGGGGACAUGAGCAUUGUACUGGGUGAUUUGGAACUCUCUGGGAGUUGUUGUGACUUUGAGUAUUGUAGGUGGAUUAGAGUUGAUGAAGUUGAGGAGGCUAUGCGUAAGAUGAGCAAGAGCAAAACGACCAGGCCGGAUGAAAUCUCGGUGGAGUUUGGGAGUGCGGGCAAGGCAGGCUUGGAAUAGCUCACUAGGUUAUUUAAUGUCAUUUUAGAGCGACGAAGAUGCCCGAAGAGUGGAGGUAGAGCACGAUGGUUCCUAUAUACAAGAACAAGGUUGAUAUCCAAAAUUGUAAUAACUAUCGGGGUAUCAAGCUGCCUAGCCAUACUAUGAAAGUCUGGGAGAGAGUGGUAGAGCUAAGGAUGAGGAGAAGUGUGUUUAUUUUAGAGAACCAGUUUGGGUUUAUGCCGGGGCGUUCGACAACAGAAGCCAUCCACUUUGUUAGGAGAUUGAUGGAGCAGUAUAGGGAGAGAAAGAAGGACUUACAUAUAUGUCACACCUCCUUUUUACACACCCGAGGGGGUAAUAUAAGGGAGUUUUUCCAAUUUAACUGACAUUAUUCGAAAUGGGAUUAUUUAUUUAUCAGAGUCACCACUUAGGAUAGUUUAUUUGGUGUCCCAAGUCACCGGUUUAUUUUAAAAUCUCAAAUCGAGGAAAUUCGACUUUUAUUUUAAAGUCUGUGAACCAGAAAUUUUAGAUAAGGAAUUCUGUUAACCCAGGAGGUGUUAGGCAUUCUCGGGUUCCGUGGUUCUAGCACGGUCGCUUAAACUAUUAAUAUUGGCCUAUUAUCUGAUUUACUAUAUGUUUUAAACCUAUUAUGUAUUUUUAACUUUAUAACCACAUUUUAAUUAUUUUAAACCGCUUUUAAGAUUUAUGGAUUUAUUUCUUUUUUGAACAAGUUAUGAUUGUCGUACGCUUGUUUGUUUUGAAAUACGACGCAAAUUACGCUACAUGAAAUGCACCCGCGAUUCGCGAUAUAUUUAUUUAUUAUUGUUGAGAAAUCGAAAUUACGUCACAUGAAAUGUACACCCGGAUUUUAGUAGUUAAAAAUCACAACUACAUUAUGAGAAUCGUACCCGUAACUAUGAUGAAUUAUUUAAAUAACCCUCCCAAAGCAACUACGAAGAUUCAAUUUUCAAUAGCAACAUUUGUGAGGGCCAUGGAUGAUUUAAUUGACGGUACACCUCAAUUUUUACAAGGAUUGAAUUAAUUUCAUGAGGGCCAUGGGUUAUUAAAGGGAAAAUGGCACACCUCAAAUGUUCUACAAAAAUUAACUAAUUAUAUGAGGGCCAUAGCUUAAGGGUUUUGUUGGCAUGACACGCCUCAAAUUAUUCCAAAGGGUUUUAUUAUUCGAAAUUGUUAUAAUCGUGUUACAUGAAAUGCAUCCCUGAAUUUUGGAAUUAGGAAUCAUAACUAUGUCACGGGAACCGUACCCAUAGUCACAAUGAUUUAUUAUUAAUCGCGCCUAAAGCAAGCUACGGGGUUUAUAAUUAGUUCUUUCUAAGUUUGAGAUUAUUGUAAAGUUUAAGAAUUAUAGAAAUUGCAACAUGGUAGAAAAAAUGUAUAAUUCGUUACUUGGCUUAGAGUUUUAACACUAAUUGCAUUCAGUUAUCGGAGUCCAUGUUAAUUAACAAAUCAGUCCAUGGUCAAUUGAAUUGCAAAUUAUAAAAAAGUCAGUAGCUCUCAUGUUCUAACUACAAUGUAACAGAAUCUUGAAGAUAAUACUCGAACUUCAAAUCCCAUUUCAAGGAGACAAAUAAUAUUUAUAUUUUAACAAACCCAAACACACUAAUCUAUAUCACAAAAAUUUCACUCCUUCCACGUGUAUAAAAAUCUGUUGUUAUGACCUUGAAUAUUUUAUAAAAUCAAAAACCAAACUUCAAAUAAGAUUCUAUUUGGCAUCAACUUGGUAGACAAGUCACAUUAUAAGUAAAAAAAAAUAAAUUAAAAGGUAGGUCACAUGUAGACAAGAGUAAAUCUAUUCAUUUUUGUACUGUUAACAGAAAACUCAACUAAGCAACAUAAGUAAUUGACUUCAAAUUCAGAAUUAUCUGAAUAUGCAGAGGACAUUUGAACGGAUGCGUAAAUAACUUAAUUGAAAACAGAUAAAACACAUAACCCCCACCCCUCCAAAUUUCGUUCCAGACUUAGAAAACGUGAAUAAGUGAAAUAAAUGCAAAUGUCAUAGCAACAUGAGAAACGGACUAGGAAAUAGUCACAUGUUCAAAUAAUAACAAGUGAAUAGGCUAAAAAAGACAUCUAGAAUUACAUAUCCAAAACUAGAUCUGAAGGCAUUUUAAGGAAUACAUACCUAGUAGCACAAGGUUCAAAUUUAGAAAAGGGAAAAGAGCCAAGUAAAUGCCGACAUCAGAAAUCAGAGCUCAGCAGCCAGCACUACCUAAAUCAGUAAACAAACAACUCCGCUACAGCUUCAAACAACCUUGAGAAUCCCCGAAAAACUACGAGGACAUGAAAUUGAAGCGUUGAAUCAAGCUAUAUGAUUUUACUUCACAAUUUGAUUAUUUCUUUCUAAAAAAAUUUGGAGCUUAGUCACGGAAAAUGCUAAAGUUCUUUUAGUAGCUCUCUUAGGCAUGUUCUUUUCUGAGAAUGAGGUGAGAAAUGGGGAAAGCUGCACUGAUUUCUUUCUCUCCUCUCUCUUGCGUCGCUGUCCCUAUUUUUGAGGAGAGAGUCCGAUCCUUUUUUUGUCCAGGAGAGGAUCCCCUUUAUUAGGUCCUUUUAUUU